GACGAACCUUGCAAACGUUAUUCGGAAUUACUGGGCUUAAAGGGUGCGUAGGCGGUGCAGAAAGUCAGGUGUGAAAUACCUCAGCUUAACUGAGGAAUUGCGCCCGAAACUACUGUGCUAGAGGAAGACAGAGGUAAGCGGAACUUAGGGUGGAGCGGUGAAAUGCGUUGAUAUCCUAAGGGAACACCGGUGGCGAAAGCGGCUUACUGGGUCUUAUCUAGACGCUGAGGCACGGAAAGCUAGGGUAGCGAACGGG
rnacentral:rRNA from 1 species